AAGAUUUUAAGUUAAUUUUUAAACUAUUAAUCUUCAAAAUUAAAUAUAUAAAACUUAUUUUAUAAAUCUUA
rnacentral:tRNA from 1 species